UUGAUCAUGGCUCAGAAUGACCGCUGGCGUCGUGCUUACACAUGCAAGUCGAGCGAGAAAGUCGACUUCGGUCGACAAGUAAAGCGGCGAACGGGUGAGUAACACGUGGGCAACCUGCCCUGGAGUGGGGGAUAACCUGGGGAAACUCGGGCUAAUACCGCAUACGACCUCAGCACUGCGGUGCUGAGAGGAAAGCUGGCCAAUUCUUGAAAGCUAGCGCUCCUGGAGUGGGCCCGCGCCCGAUUAGCUUGUUGGUGAGGUAACGGCUCACCAAGGCGGUGAUCGGUAGCCGGCCUGAGAGGGUGAUCGGCCACACUGGGACUGAGACACGGCCCAGACUCCUACGGGAGGCAGCAGUGGGGAAUAUUGGACAAUGGGCGCAAGCCUGAUCCAGCAACGCCGCGUGGAGGACGAAGGCCUUCGGGUCGUAAACUCCUGUCAGUUGGGACGAAAAGUCGUCGGUCAAUAGCCGGCGAUCAUGACGGUACCAGCAGAGGAAGCCCCGGCUAACUCCGUGCCAGCAGCCGCGGUAAAUACGGAGGGGGCUA
rnacentral:rRNA from 1 species